CUAUUUUCCCAAAUCAGACCUUAAACCACCAUAAAACCUACUUAGACCAACACCAUGGACGCUGGACACCAUGGAAGUUGCAGCUUCCUCUUUAUACAUUGCCACCGGAAACAUUGCCACCGAAAACCUCUACUCCGUGCCUAAACACAUCGAGGAAUGCCAAUAGGAGCAGAAUAAACAAAACCAGACAAAGGUUUUAGAUGGGUUCUUUUUAGUUUUUCAGAUUUGGGGUCGAUAAGGGAAAUUGAAGGAAGUGUUAGUGGUUAUGUGGUGGUGUAAUAGAGAAGAUUUAUUGUUUUUGGAUUUGUUUAAUGGCGGAUGGUGAUGAAAAUUUUGUGUUUUUUUCUGUCAUGGAGGGUGAAGAUGGAGAAGAUAAUUGGGGACAAUAUGAAAGAGGGAAGAUUGCAGAAAAGUUUCCGUUAAGUACUCACUUUUCUGGCCAAAAAGUUUUCGGUGAUAUUGCUUCCUUCUCUAAUUUUUUAUGCCCCUGUUUAUAAUGACUCUUGUGGGUUUGAAUUUGAAGAGGUUCAAAGGCAUGGUGGGUCUUCAACGGUGAAACAAUGGCAAAUGCGAUAUCGCCGCCGGUAGUCGGUGUAGAAAAGCUUUACAAAUUUCGCUUGCUUUUCUUUAAUCUUUACUAUUAUUGUUCUGAAUGAGUUGUCUUUUCUUCUCUAACCCUUUUUCUCAUUUUUCAAUUGCUAUCAGCUGGGUUUUUGUUUCAACUUGUUUUAUUUGUUCGUCUUUUUUCGAAUUUAUUUUCAAGAUGGAGAAGAUAAAUGGUGCAGCGCAGCGCAGAAGACGGAGAAAAUUGGAGGAGGUGGUAGGGUCCACAUUGGUUUUAGGGAAAAAAAGAUAAACCUAAUUUUCAAGAUCUUCACACGUGUAGAUGUAAGUGUAACACACAAAAUUUGUCAUGUCAGCGGAUGGUGUUUAAGAGAAUAUACUUCUACCAAGCAGAAAUGUUUGUCUGGUCAUAAGGCAAGUUAAGAUGUUCAAAUGAUCGUUGGGCACAACUUAAAGGGGCGCUUUAUGUAUUUCGCCUUUUGAAUAUCCACAAGUGAGGUCCGGAUGCAACACGAGGACUUCUCAAGGAGUCAUCCAUCACAGUAUACUCUUGCCCAAGCACGUUUAACUUUGACAUUAUGAUGAGAUCCGGUAUAGUAGUGCUAGUAUUUUUUUUAUUCAAGCCAUCACCCAGGGUAUGCUGCCCUAUGGUAGUUGGGAUGGGGGGUUGGCAUUGCCCUUACCUGUCUAUUAGAUAAUCCAAAAGAAUACACAGAGGAGGACAUAAACCUUAGCCUCUAGAGAUACAUGGAGAGUGAGUGAGUGAGAUCGAAGAUAAUUCUGUGCAUUGUCUAAGUUUUCACUAAGAGAGGAAUUCCCUAUCAUGUUAUAGAUGAAAGAGCUAGCUUUGAAAUGAAACCUAUAUGUCAAUACAACUUGAGUAGUCUUAACUAUUAUCAAAUAUGAAAUGCCCCUUCUUGGACCUUAUUCUGGAGCGAAUAAAGCCAUUUUGAUAUUCUUCAAUAAAGUUUUAGUCUCUCGUGGUGAGGCCAUGAGUGAAGAAUCUCUCCUGUUUAGUCUCCACUCCAAUAUUAGCAAACGAGCCUGUAACAGUGACCAACAUGAGUUUGCCCUUAAAUCAUCAGGUAUUUGAUUUGAUGGAUAUAAUCCCUGAGGUAUGACUGAAUCUUGUUCUCCCCUUUAAUCAUUCUGACUAGUAAUAAGGAGUUAGUUUCCACCAAAAUAUUGGUGUGCCCAUUGUUGAUGCACCAGUGCAACCCUUUAAGUAAGGCCAUAGUCUCAACUUUGUUGUUUCUACAAACACCAAAGUAAGAAUAGUACGUCCUGAUCGGAUUGUCCAUAUGGUCUUUAAGAAUAUCACCUCCGGCUGCUUCUCUAGGAUUGCCUUUGCAACAUCCAUCCGUAUUUAACUUGAUGUGUAGUUUUUGCUUAGCCUUUCUACUCUGUCAUAUAUAUACAUCCACUUGUUGUUAACUCUCAAAGAGAUAAAUUGGCUAUUCAAGAUCAGACUAGUUAAUCAGAUGACUCGAUUAAUGAUUCUCAUAAUAGAUAAAGUAGUAUGUUCAAAUCUCCUGGUGCAUCUACUCUUCCAAAUCUCCCAACAGAUGAUAGAGGGGGUACAUUGAAGUAGUUCAUGUAUGCUAUUUUUUGGCUUAGCAAGCCACCAUUUGAUAAGCAUAUCUCUGGUGGAUUGAGGUUGAUAAGGGAUCUCACACGAAGUAGAAAAGAAAGUCCAAAUCAGCUUCAUAUCCCCUUCACAAAAUAAAAGUUCAAUAGUUUUCCUGAUUAGGAUUCCCACAACAAUCACAUUUAGAUGGUCCCUGGUAAUUAAAUCUUUGAGUCUUGUCAUCUGUAGGCAAGCUCUCAUGUAAUAGUUUCAGCAUAAAAAGGAUACUUUGAAGGGGAUUUUGGAGCGCCAGAUUUUCUUGGGAGUGAGAGAGGAAUUUCUGUUUACUUUGGUAGCCUUCCAUGCUGAUUUGCAUGAGAACUCGCCAUUUUCAUCAGCCAGCCAAAUAGGAUAAUCCUCUCUAUUAGGCUCAAUGGUGAUAUUAAGGAUCUGAUAUACAUUGUGAUCAGGGAGGAUCUUUCUGAGUUCCUGCUCCUUCCACCUGUUAGAAUUAAUGAAGAGAGAAACUGUAAUCUUUUUGGAUCUAUAACCUUGUGGUACUUGUCUAGCUAGAGGUCCAAUCCCUAACUAGUUAUCCCACCAAAAGGAAAUGUUUCCAUAACCUAUCUUCCAAAGAAUAUGUUGCUCAAAAUUAGUUUUAGCCUCCAUUAAUCUUCUCCAGGUAUGAGAAUCAACAUAAGUCCGUCUCUUUGAAAUGCAUGAGAUCUUUUAUAAUACUUAGCUUUCAAGAAGUCCUUGAGCAUAGAAAAGUUAGUUCUGAAAUUCCACCAGUUCUUGGCGGGGAAUGCAUCACAGUAGCUUUGAAUUGGUCUAAAACCUGCAUCUCCCUAGUCAGUAGGAAAGCACAACUUUCUCCAAGAUAUCUAAUGAUGUUUUUUCUUACCUUCUGAUUCACAAUGAAGUUAGGCAUCACCCUCGCUAUUUGCUUAAUGAUUGUUUUUGGUGGCUGAACCACAGAGAUAAUGUGCAGAGGUAAGGAAGCAAGCACUACCUUAACAAGAACAGCCUUUCCUGCAAAUGAGAGAGUUUUCAUCUAUCGCCCUGUGACUCUGUGUGACAAUCUAGCCACCAUAUCAGAAAAAUAUGAAAUCCUUUUCCUACCUAUGUAUAUAGGAACCAAGGUUGGUAAAGGAAAUUGAUGUUGAGUGAAUCCCGUUAUUUGUUUCAUCUCUUGAAUAAAGAUAUCAGUGGCUUUAGGGUGGACAAUGAACCCAGAUUUUCUUUUGUUAAUGAGUUGUCCAUACUCCAUAGACCUUUCAUAUGUCUCUAGAGUGUUCAUCAUCCUAGUGAUAGAAUUUGAAUCUCCUGAAGAGAAAAGAAUGGUUUUAUCUGCAUAGCAUAGAUGUGAUGCUAGGUCCAUUUCCAUCAAUGAUGAAAUGGAUGAAAUUAUCCACUAAUAGCAUGUCCAUUGCUCUAGAAAGGAGCUCAACACCAAUAAUGAAUAAUGAAAGAGAUAAGGGAUCCCCUUGUUUGAGACCUCGAGUGGAUUUAAAGAAACCAUGUCUGGUUCCAUUGAUAUUAAUAGAGUACCAAUUAUUAGCAAUCACUCUCCAAAUCAUAUGAAUCCAGUUCUCAGAAAAUCUCAUUUGUCGUAGAACCUGGCACAAAUAACUCCAUGAGACUCUAUCAUAAGCCUUAGCCAUGUCUAACUUCAUAGCCACAUUGUAAUUAGGAUCAUUGUUGUUCAUGUUGUGAAUCAUUUCCUAAGUCAAGAUGAUAUUCUAUGUAAUUGAUCUCCCAUUCAUAUAACUAGUUUGAUUAUGGGACACUAAAUUAUUGAUAAUCUUGGAAAGUCUACUAUUAAGCAUCGUGGAGAUAAUUUUGCAAGAGAAGUUACUGAGUCUAAUAGGCCUCAUCUCAAAGAAUUCCUGAGGAGAUUUGACCUUAGGGACAAGGAUCAAGUAGGAGUGCAAUAUAGAUCUAGGAAGGCAACUCCCAUUGAAGAAGUCUAAAAUCAUAUUGUGUAGGUCCUCAGCAAUGAUAUCCCAACAAUGAUGGUAGAAGAGCCUUGACAUACCAUUUGGCCCAAGUGCAAUGUCAAAACUCAUGUCAAAGACUAUCUCUUUUAGCUCCUGAAUAGUCGGAUAUACACAUAGAAUGUCAUUAUCCUCACUAGUAACCUUAGAGGGUAGACAUUGAAUUAAGGAGAGAUCUCUAUUCAGAUUCUCCUCAGUAAAUAAAUUUUCAAAAAAUUUGACUGCUUCCUGGCCAAUAUUGUUCUGCUCUUCAAUCCAGAUUCCUAUAUCAUUCUUAAUUCUACUCAGUUUCAGCUUCUGCCUUCUAGAAGAAAUAACUGAAUAAAAGAAUUUAAUAUUGAGAUCACCUUUGGCAUGCCAUUUAAUCCAAGACUUUUUCUCCAGAAGGCUUCUUCUAUCUUGUAAUGUCUGAUAAGUUGAGCAUUGGAUUCAUUGAGCCUGACCAUAUUCUCAACAGAGUUGUCAUGAAUACAAAUGUUUUCUAGCUCUGGUACCUUCUUUCUUUAUCAUUAGUCAGAGCAAAUAUGUCCCCUACAGAAUUUUUAGACCACCAAGAGAGGUUCUUAUAAGUGUUUUUCAACUUAAGGUGGAACUUCCACAUAGGAGAUCCCUCCACUUGAAUUUGCCAAGCUUGUUGAACAAUCUCCUUAAAACCAGGUUCAUUUACCCAAAAAUUUAAGAAUUUAAAAUAUUUGGGGGCUAAUAAUCAUUGCUACCAGCAACAAUUAAAAGAGGAGCAUGAUCUGAUCAUUUUCUGACCAAGAGAGUAACCGUGGUGUUGGGGAAUUUCGAGAGCCAUUCCUGAUUUGCAAGAGCUCUAUCUAGUCUCUGACAUAUCCUUUCUGAUGGAGUUCUGAGAUUGCACCAUGUGUAUGUAGAGCCAAUAUAACCAAGAUCAUUUAAUUCACAGUCCGUCAUGCAUUCGAUUAAAGGGAAACUCUUUUCCAUUCUGUGAGGAUUACCACCAAUCUUUUCAGAUAGUUCAAUAAUACAAUUGAAGUCACCCAUGACCAUCCAUUCCUUCAUGUGGUUUGAAUAAGUCUGCCUCAGCUCUUCCCAUAGUGGUUCCCUGAGAGGAACCUUUCUUUUAGCAUAGAUAUUAGUUAUAGUGAUAUCCUCUUCCUCACUCUCUAGUGAACAUGUGAGUUGUUGCUUACCAUCAUAGAGAACUGAGAGAACAAAAUCCUUGUCUGAGAAUAUCCAAAUCUUAUUAUUGCAAUUAGCAUAAGCAUAGUGAUAUCUUAACCAAUUAUUGUAUUUGUCAAGUUUAGAUCUUUUGCAAAAAGGUUCUUGAAUGGCCACGAAAUUUAUUUUGUAUUACUUCAUAAGCAUUUUCAGUCUCUCAAUGGAACCCUUAAUGCCCCGAUAUUCCAAUAUAGAGAUCUAAUCAUGAAAGGUGAAUUUGGGUUGAUUUUUGGUUAGUAUGGACUUGCUAGUUGUGUUGCCUCUGCCUCUUCUGUCCCUAUUGCUUUCUCUGCCUCGCACAGUAGAUGUAGUACCUCCCAGUGAUAGGUUUGCUCGAUCUGUAAUGUCAAUAAAAGCUUGUGAAAUAUUUGGAACAUAAACCUGGUGUCCAGUGAAAGCUUCUACCAGCUUAUUGCAUGUACCAUCACUGAAAGGUCCUUCUUCUAUGCUCUUAUAUUUACGUUCAUAACUUCUAGAUUUCACCCCCGAGCUAUCUUCAUCAUUUUCUGAAUCUGAUUUACCUAGCUCAUAUUCACUACCAGGGACAUCUUCUUCUUCAUCUGAGGAACUAGACAUUUGGAUAUUGGGUGUUGUGUCUGCAACUGAGAUAAUAGCCUCCUUACUAAUUUGAUUCUUAGACAUCUGGUUGUUGCUUUUUGGUGUGUUUUGCAAUGUAAGUUUCUUUAUUCCAUAAGUGCCUUCUUGUGUCAUAUUGAAUGUUGUUGAGCUAUGUAUUUAUGUAUAGUAGUUAGUUACUACUUAGCUUAGUUGUCACUUAGUUGUAGCUUAAUUAGUUGUUAGUUAUCAGUUAUAGAGGUUAUACAAGUGUAUAUACAUUAGUUUUGUACAAUACAUUGUUACAUAUUAUUCAUUUUAUAUACAAAAAUAUCUUCUCUCAGUAUCUCCCUCUAUGAAGCUUCCAGAAUUUCCACCAUUGGAGCUCUAGCUCGAGCUCGAUUUUUCUGCUGCAUCUGCAGCUCAACAUGGUAUCAGAGUCUAGCAUCUCACUCUCCCGUCUCCUCAUCAUCUUCAAUAAGGUCAAUUGAACCUUUUCCCCAAUUUUUCAUUUUUUGAGUUUUGCCCUAGAAGAUCGUUUAUCUUCAAUUGUUCGAUCUGUCUUUUCUCUCUUCGAUUUUUGAUUCUAUCUUUAUCAAAUUGAGUCCUAUCCCGUGGCUAUCACUGAUUCGAGUACUGAGUCCGAUGGUUCCCCAUCUGUCCUCGAGGUGGAGUCCGGUGUCGAUGCUAGUAGUCCUCUUUACAUGCAUCCUUCAAAUAAUCCACGGCACGAUGUUAGUUCCAGUUACUUUCGGUGGUUUAGGGUACAUAUCCUAGAGAAGGAGUGUUAUGCAAGCCCUAUCUGUCAAAAACAAAUUAGAUUUCAUCAAUGGUGAAUGCAAAUGACCAGAUCCAGAGAAAGAGCCUUCGAAAUUUCGACUAUGGGAACGAUGCGGCGAUAUGGUUACAUCAUGGAUCCUAAAUUCUCUUGCCAAGGAGAUUGCUGACUGUUGAAUAUGCAAAUGAUGCCGUCGAGUUGUGGAAAGAGUUGGAGGAUCGCUACGAUUUGACCAACAGAACCAAACUAUAUCAAAUUCAGAAGGAAAUUAAUGAUCUUUCUCAAGGAGUUUUGGACAUCACAGGUUAUUACACUAAAAUGAAGAAGCUGUGGGAGGAACUGAGUACACUGAGUGCCAAGACACAGUGCACCUGUCAAUGCACAUGUGGUGCUAAGGAAAGUAUGCCUAAAGCUGAACAAGACAGGCGUUUGAUUCAGUUUUUGAUGGGCCUGAAUAAAGUGUACACAACUGUGCGAGGCAACAUUCUUAUGAUGAACCCCUUGCCUUCUAUGGCACAAGCAUUUUCCUACUAGUUCAAGAAGAGAAGCAGAGGGAAGUUAAGCCAAACAAUCAUGUUAUGAUGGAUUCUUCGUCUUUAAAUAUCCGUGUCCCGAGGAGUAAUAUCAGAAAUGGCCAACAAUAUGCAGAUUCUGUCUCGUUCAAUGUUGACACAUCAAGGAACAACAAUUUUAGAACCAACUAUUCUCCCUGCAAUUACCCUCCUAAUAUCACCAGACCACGUCCUUUUUGUGACUACUACCAAAGAAAAGUGUUAUAAGCUGCAUGGAUAACCCCAGGGGUUCAACUCAAAUCCAAAUCCCAAAUUUAACAGAGGAAAGAGAACUGUGGCCAAUGUACACCUGAAACCAACUCUGGCAAACAGGAAGAAGUGGAAUCUCUAGAAGGCAACUGCAACUCCAAUGUCAACUUAACCAAAGAACAAUAUUGGCAACUAGUUUCCCUGCUACAGCAUUUUCAUUCUAGAAAUGGUAAAAAGACCUCCAGUAUUCCUAAUGGAGUUGUGAAUUUUGCAGGUACAAUGGCUUGCUCUGCUUCUGUUCCCUCCAUUGAUUAUAGCUUAUUAUUAUGCAAAUGUUUUACAUCAAGUACUGAUAUAUGGAUCCUAGACUCAGGAGCUUCCAACCACAUGACCUUCAAUAAGUCCCUCUUGUCUAAUACUAUAGUCUUACCAUAUCCCUUGUUAAUUAACCUACCAAAUGGUUAUCGAGUAAAAGUGACUGAAAUUGGGACUGUUACACUUGCACCUCAGAUCAUCUUGCAUAAAGUCUUUUAUGUUCCUUCUUUCAAAUAUAAUUUGAUCUCUAUUCACUGCCUAACUUCCCAACUUAAAAGUUUAGUUGCCUUCUCUGAUUCUUUAUGUCUUCUACAGGCCCCUUCAAUGAAGAGGCCUUUGGAGAUUUGGUAAGGUCGAGGAUGGAUUAUACCUUCUUUGCUCAAGCUGCUUGAAGCACUCUUGUUCUGCUACAUCUACUGCCAACUGCUCAUUUCCAUUUCAUACUUUACCUGCUUCACAUGAUGUAAAUAGGUCACAUUCGCCUUAUCACUCAUUUGUAAAUAUACCCACGUGCAAUAAAACUCAGAGUUCAGUUUUGCAUUCUUCCAUGUCUAAUAACAUUGAUGCAGAUUUAUUGUGGCACAAUAGGCUGGGAUAUGUACCUUUUGUCAAAAUGAGAGGUAUCUCUUCAAUACCAAUCCAGUUCUCACCCAAACAACCAUUCCUCUGUCCCAUGGCAAGGUAGACUAAAUUGCCUUUCCCUCAAAGAACCAGUAUCACCACCAAAGCUUUUGAUCUUCUCCAUGUGGACUUAUGGGGACCUUACCAUGUGGCAACUCACAAUAAUUUUAAAUACUUCCUCACCCUAGUAGAUGACUAUAGCAGGUCCACUUGGACCCAUCUCCUAAGCUGUAAAAGCAAUGCCUUGCAAACUAUAAAAGCCUUUGUGUCUCUCAUUGAAACUCAAUUUCAAAUCAAACUAAAAUAUUUAAGGUCAGAUAAUGGCCUAGAGAGUUUUAUUUAUAUAUAUUAAAUAUAAAAAAAAACUAAAACCCUUGAAAAUAAAUAACAAAAACAAACCCGUCUGUUAUGUUCUAAACUCUAAACCCAGUCUGUUCUGUCUCUAAACAAACUUGUCUAUUCCUAAUUCCAAAGAAAACCUAAUGCCUAAACCAGCAGCCACCGCCCACCGGCCAACAGUCGUCGUCGACUUCCACCAACCACCGGUCUCCCUCUUGCUGUCUCGUCUCUCCCUCUCGCGAGUCGCGGUUUCUUAUCUUCUUAUCCAGUGACUCAUACAUGGCUGAAAAUAUUAAAAGUAAUAAGGUGAUGAUGGGUGAAAGUGGGGUUUCUAUUUAAAUGCAACAAGUCAAUCUCAAACAACAAAGUCAAAUAUAACCAAGAAAAGGAGAAAAAGGUCUGUUGUGUGGGAUCAUUUUACAAAAAUUAUUACUUCUGAAGGGAGUACAAAAGCAAAAUGUGACUAUUGCUCAAGAUAUCAUUGACUGGAUGCACAAGAAGUUAGGUGCUGGCAAUCUUGCAAAUGUGUAUAGUUAGUGCUAUCUUUGCAAAUAUGUAACUGUGUGCCAAGGCAUCAGCCACACAGUUACCUUCUCUAUAACAAUGAACCAACUUUAUCUGUUGUAUACCUCUUCUUAUCUCUAGAAUACCUGACUGAUGUUCCCAUGGAACUGUUACUUUACCAUUAAACAUGUUUAUCACUAAUAGUAAGUCCAUCCCUAACAUGAUUUCUUUCUAAUUAUUCCAGACACUCCAUUGUAUUACUUGUAAAACUGUUUGUAGCUCUGCUGACUUAUUAGUACAGUCCUGAAGAUCUUUA